UGGGGAAUCUUGCGCAAUGGGCGAAAGCCUGACGCAGCGACGCCGCGUGAGGGAAGAAGGCCUUCGGGUUGUAAACCUCUUUCAGGAGGGACGAAGCCACUCGGGUUAAUAGCCCAGAGGGUGACGGUACCUCCAGAAGAAGCCCCGGCUAACUACGUGCCAGCAGCCGCGGUAAUACGUAGGGGGCAAGCGUUGUCCGGAUUUAUUGGGCGUAAAGAGCGUGUAGGCGGCCAGGUAGGUCCGUUGUGAAAACUGGAGGCUUAACCUCCAGCUGUCGAUGGAAACCAUCUGGCUAGAGUCCGGAAGAGGAGAGUGGAAUUCCUGGUGUAGCGGUGAAAUGCGCAGAUAUCAGGAAGAACACCCGUGGCGAAGGCGGCUCUCUGGGACGGUACUGACGCUGAGACGCGAAAGCGUGGGGAGCGAACA
rnacentral:rRNA from 1 species